GACGAACCGUGCGAACGUUAUUCGGAAUCACUGGGCUUAAAGCGCGUGUAGGCGGGAGGGCACGUCCGUUGCUGAAAUCCCCCGGCUCAACCGGGGAACGGGCGCGGAUACGACCUUCCUGGAGGGGCGUAGGGGGACCUGGAACUUCCGGUGGAGCGGUGAGAUGCGUUGAGAUCGGAAGGAACGCCCGUGGCGAAAGCGAGGUCCUGGACGCCUACUGACGCUGAGACGCGAAAGCCAGGGGAGCGAACGGG
rnacentral:rRNA from 1 species